rfam:Ceraceosorus bombacis genome assembly, contig: Scaffold_255
AUCUACGGCCAUACCACGGGAAAAGUACAGGAUCCCGUCCGAUCUCCUAAGUCGAAGCCCCGUAGGGUCUAGUCAGUAUUGCGGUGGGGGACCACGCGAGAAUCCUAGAUGCCGUAGAUU